CCGGAGCCGCACGCGCGCUACAUUGAAGGAAUCAGCGUGUGUUUCCUGCCCGACAGGGUUGGGUAACCAGAUGAAUCUCCUUCGUGCUUGGGAUAGGGGCAUGUAAUUGUCCCCUUGAACGAGGAAUUCCUAGUAGGCACGAAUCAUUAUUUCGUGCCGAUUACGUCCCUGGCCUUUGUGCACAUCGCCCGUCGCCAAUGUCGAUCGAAUAUUUUAGUGAGGUCUUCGGACUGGCUUCCGGUCUGGCUUCACGGUCGAGCCGGUGUGCCGGAAAGACGAUCAAACUUGAGUAUUUAGAGACAUUGAAAGUCGUAACAAAGUAACC
rnacentral:rRNA from 1 species